GUGUACUCCCUCCGUCCUAUAAAAAACCAACCUAGUACUAGAUGUGACACAAUCUAGUACUACGAAUUUCAAUAUACCUCUGUCUAAAUUAGUUGUACUGUUAUGUGUCACAUCCAAUCCUAGAUUUUUUUUCCUGGGAUGGAGGGAGUA
rnacentral:misc_RNA from 1 species